CGGGGUAUGGCGCAGUUGGUAGCGCGCAUGCAUGGGGUGCAUGAGGUCGUGGGUUCGAGUCCCGCUACCCCGACCA
rnacentral:tRNA from 1 species